AUGGCCGUAGGGGAGGGGAGAUGUGCGGCCGCUGUCCCCGGUGCGUGCAGCGAGGAAGGGAAAAGCCGCCGUGCCGUGGCUGGCAUCGACGGCGACGACGACCCUCGGCUCUUGAGAGACCAGGAAGGUGUUGCCGGCGACGGCGACGCUGCGGAUGAAGAUGGUGGCAGUCUCUCCCUAGCGGUCCUCCCGGCAGAGGCAGAACCGAACGUCCUCCUCGCCGCCGGCUGCUGCUGCUGCUGCUGCUCCGGCGUCGUCGGCUCUGACGACAUCCCCUGUCUUCGCGACGAAGACUUGCGCAAGCUCCUGUCCGGUGACUGUCACACAGGUUCAUCCCCUUCCGCGACAGCAUACACGGUUGUCUCAGUGACCGACCGUGGUCCAUCCCGAGCAAUGCCUGCCUGA
rnacentral:rRNA from 1 species